GGGGGGGGGGGGGGGGGGGGGGGGGGGGGGGGGGGCGGGGGGGGGGGGGCGGCGGGGGGGGGGGGCUCGAGUGGCGAACGGGGGAGUAGCACGUGGGUACCCUGCCCGUGGCUUUGGGGGAACUUCGGGAAACUGGGGCUAAUACCGGAUAGGAGCUCCUGCUGCAUGGUGGGGGUUGGAAAGUUUCGGCGGUUGGGGAUGGACUCGCGGCUUAUCAGCUUGUUGGUGGGGUAGUGGCUUACCAAGGCUUUGACGGGUAGCCGGCCUGAGAGGGUGACCGGCCACAUUGGGACUGAGAUACGGCCCAGACUCCUACGGGAGGCAGCAGGGGGGAAUAUUGCACAAUGGGCGGAAGCCUGAUGCAGCAACGCCGCGUGCGGGAUGACGGCCUUCGGGUUGUAAACCGCUUUCGCCUGUGACGAAGCGUGAGUGACGGUAAUGGGUAAAGAAGCACCGGCUAACUACGUG
rnacentral:rRNA from 1 species